UUAAAUAUGUACAAUUAGUCAAUGUAUUGUAAAAAUAUGCAUUGCGAUAAAUAUAGGUGAACUUUAUUGGAUUUAAAUUCGACGCAAUGAAACUAAAAAUACGAGUGAUUCAUCAGAAAAUGGAGCUUACGAGUAAAGUCUGUCAAUCGUGUUUGAGAGUCAACAUUUGUGUUCUAAAAUUAAAAGAUCAUCAUUUCAUCUGUACAGGAAAGCUGUUCAUACGGGACGAGUUUAGAAGGCGAUAUUUGAAGGAUCUACAGUAGCCGUGAAGAAUAAUAUUAAUAAUGAUCAUGAUGAUUUUCUAAAAGAAGCACACAUUUUGAUGGAAGCAUCUCACGAAAACGUCAUAAAAAUGACAGGAGUAAGCAUUGAGCAACAUCCAUAUUGUCUUGUCAUACAGUAUCUGACGGAAUACAGCUUAAAAGAGAGUAUAUUCAAUGAACCUGUAUCAAUGGACACAUCUAUGAAGAAUAUGACAGAAAUGAUAUCUAAGAUUGCAAACGGAACGAUUUUUUUAGGAUCGAGGAAGAAAAUUCAUUCCGAUUUGAUAGCAGACAAUAUAUUAUUUGGAUCAAAUUGGAACCUUAAAAAUUGUGGAUUCAAGUUUGCGCAUAUGGUAAAUGACCUUACAAUAGAUCGAAAACGAAGACGUACAAUUCCUCUGGUUAGAUGGUUGUCACAAGAGAUUAUCGAAGGGAAAAAAGCAACUACCAAAGCUGAUGUCUGGUCUUUUGGAGAUCUGCUAAUGGAAGUGUUUGGAAGCUGCAAAGAACUUUAUGAAGACUUAAAAUAUCCAGAGGUAUUUAAAAUAAUAAAAUGGGACUACACACACAAAAGACCUGAAUGUUGUACCGAAGAAAUCUAUAAGCAUGCCUUAAUGUGCUGGUUUUAAGACCCUGACACUCGAAUAACAUUUAAGUUUAUAUCCCACUUUUUGUAUGACUAUGACAUUUGUAUGGAACAUGAAUAUGAUGAAGUGGAUGAAUUAGACGAGGAUGAUUACGUGUGUCAAUGACUGAAUGAAUUCAAAUGCAUUUUCUGUUUUCAUUCUUAGUAAAACAGUGGGACAAUUUCUUUUCACAUUGUAAACAUGAAAAGAAGAUGUCUAUAAAAAUGUUACUGGACUCCGUUAGACGUAUGCAUGUAUAACAACAUCUAUUUAACAGUAUAACCAGUUUUGGUAUAUUCAUUGUCUUAUAUAUGACUUUGAUUGGCAUCGUACAUUUAAAAAUAAUAAUUCCAUUAUUUAUCCAGAAAUUAGUAUAAUCUAUAUGUACUUUAGAAAAAUCCAUCGAUAAAUACAUUUGCCUGUAUACGAUUUAUGAACUCAACUUUUAAAUAUAUUUUAAAGGUUGAACAGAACGGUUAUAAAUGUACGAAUACUCAAUCAAAUGCAAACUACGAAAUAUAGGAAUUAUAAGACAAAAACUGAAGGUAGAAUAUAAAAACCUAGAAUAGAAUAUUGAAAGAUCAAAUCCUUCAGUCUUCUAAAGUCCAGUUAGAGACUUCUUGAUAUAUAACUCUGAUUACAAACAGGUGUUACAUCAAAACCAUAAUUGACAACUGUAACUGUUAUUUUUGUCAAUAUGGUGUUAUAGAUACAUGCAGCUGUUGUGUUUUGGGAGGUUAUAUUUGCAUGAACACAGGAAUAUUGUUGUAAUAAAUUUGUAGUGGAAAAUUACUCAUUAUAUCUUUUUUAAAAUAUGACCAUCUUCCUAAUGAGUAGCUGUUAUUUUUAUAAGUUCCACUUUAUUAUCUGAUUAAAGACCAAGAGUGUCGUUGUUUAUAAAUGUUAAAAUCUCAUAAAUCGAGUAAGACAAAUUAAGGUUCUUUCCGUUUAUGACAUCUUUUCAUAGUUUGUUUUAUUGUUAAAUUUUCAGAUUCAUAAAUAUUUAGUAACACAUAUCAAUUUAUUAAAAUAUCAUUUACACGUUAAUUGUUGGAAUUUUCGUUGAUGCAUCUUACAAUGUAGGUCGCAUGAGUCGUAGUACAAAUUCUUACACAACUAUUAUAGACAUCAAAGGUAUAAAGUUUUUUUUCAGUGUUUAACAAGACAUACUUUUAAAAUUUUAGGAUGUUAUGUUACCUUGGUUUGCCAAAUCAUUAUCCGCCGUUUGAUUUUAGUGCUUUUUGUACAUCAAGAUUGGUUGUAUUUUACAAAUAAUGAUAUACAUCAGAGAAAAUAUAGCAAAAAUUGUGUUCACAAUUUAUUACAUAUGCCAAUAUUUCUUCUUUCGGUCCAAAAUAAUGCAAUGUUAUUUGCCAAAUUAUUAACCUCCAAUUUGAUCUAAGUGCUUUUUGUACUUCAGGAUUUGUUGUAUUUCUUUUUUUUUUUUUAUAAAAUAUCCUGAAUUUCAGUGAAAAUAUACUAAAAUUUUGUUCACAUUGAUAAAAUAUGCCAAAACGAGUUUUGCCAAAAUUAUUAACCACCAUUUUUUUAGUACUUUUUGCACAUCUGGAUGGGUUGUAUUUAACAAAUAAUAAUAUAUACAUAAGGAAAAAAAAAAGUAAAAUUUGGUUCGCAUUGAUUAAAUAUGCCAAUAUUUCUUCUUUUUAUCCAAAGUAAUGCAAUGUUAUUUGCCAAGUUAUUAACCUUCAUUUAGUUUUAUCGCUUUUUGUACAUCAUGAUUGGCUGUUUUUCAUAAGUAUGCUGAAUUUCACGGAAAAGAUACUUAAAUUUUGUUCGCAUUGCUUAAAAAUGAAAAUAUUUUUUCUUUUAUAUUAGAAAUAAUGCAAUGUCAUUUGCAAUUAGUCAUUAUAAAUGUCUCUAGAUCAUCAAUUGUAUAUAAAAUGUGAAUAAUAUAAGGAUAAAGGUACUUUAACUUUUGUUUGUGUUGAAUAUGAAUGCAAUUAUAUCAUUAUUUUAAUAAAAAUCAUGAACCUCCA